UACGUAGGGUGCAAGCGUUGUCCGGAAUUAUUGGGCGUAAAGAGCGUGUAGGCGGCCAGGUAGGUCAGCUGUGAAAACUCGAGGCUCAACCUCGAGACGUCGGUUGAAACCAUCUGGCUAGAGUCCGGAAGAGGAGAGUGGAAUUCCUGGUGUAGCGGUGAAAUGCGCAGAUAUCAGGAAGAACACCCGUGGCGAAGGCGGCUCUCUGGGACGGUACUGACGCUGAGACGCGAAAGCGUGGGGAGCGAACAGG
rnacentral:rRNA from 1 species